rnacentral:rRNA from 1 species
UACGUAGGGCGCAAGCGUUGUCCGGAAUUAUUGGGCGUAAAGAGCUCGUAGGCGGUUUGUCGCGUCUGUCGUGAAAGCUUGGGGCUUAACCCCAAGUCUGCGGUGGAUACGGGCAGACUAGAGGCAGGUAGGGGAGAACGGAAUUCCCGGUGUAGCGGUGAAAUGCGUAGAGAUCAGGAGGAACACCCAUGGCGAAGGCAGCUCUCUGGCUUGACCCUGACGCUGAGACGCGAAAGCGUGGGGAGCGAACGGG